GCAAGUCAAACACUUAACCAGACCUGCCUUGGGGAGAUUAACAGCAGAUCUCAGAGGCAGCCUGGGGAAGCCCUGUCUGUCAAUUCUUUGUACCUUCCUGAGCUUCAUUCUCCCACCUUCCCUCAUCCCUCAUUCUCAACAGUUCCCUCAAGAUCUUGUCUACAUACAUCUAUAAAUAAUCAAGAGGGACAGUUGAGAGAAGAGAAGAAGGGAACCAAGGAGGGAAAGGAAGAAGAAUAGGAAGGAAGGAAAGAAAAAGAGAAAGCUACAGGGAGCACAGGAGACGGAUGACCUGGAUGAAGCCUAAAUACUAGUUAGCAGUGAUGCUAAGAACAAUGGACCAACACACGAAGCUGAGUCCAGGAUCAUGAAGCUGUGGUGUUGAGAAGAGCCUGAGGUGGGGCAAGGAUUGAAGCAGAUAAAUCCUGCGGAAGGUUGUUGCACAGAUCAA